rnacentral:lncRNA from 1 species
GCUUUUCCUUUACGUUACUGUCGCCACUGUUAUCGGUCACAAGAAGUUGAACGCCGCUGAUAAAUGUGAUGGUGUUGGUAUUCUUGGUAUUGCUUGGGCUUUUGGUGGCAUGAUCUUUGUACUUGUCUACUGCACUGCCGGUAUCUCUGGUAAGUACAUACAAAUGCCUAGACGGAUCUAGAAUUUUAACUUUGUUAUAACUGAGUAGGAAAAAGAGAGAAACAUUGCUGGUGCAAAUGUACCUUCAAAUUUGUUUUAAUAUGAGUAGAUAAGAAAAUGUAAGGUCAAUUCACUUGAAAAACAGAAAUUCGCUCCGCGUAGGACCCAUUUAAGAGUAAGCUUAACAACAUUUUUGACAUAUAAAGCUUGAAUUUGAGACAGGGCAACUUAUGUUGUUAAACAAACAAAAUAUGUUAUAAUCCUAUUUAGUGAUGCAUUAGCCACAUCAUCUGAAAAAAAAAAAUUAGUGACAGAGUCAAACGAGUUUUGUAGCUAAUUCAUAAUUUUUUUGUGUAGUGAAAGAGGUUCUAAAGAUAGAAAAAUGCGGGUUUAAUUUUUUUUUUUUUUAACUUGGGCAUAUUUAGUAACAACGUAAAAACUAAUUUAAUUCGGUGGUUUAAUUUGUUUAACAUCUUUGUUAUUGUGUGUUGUAGGUGGACAUAUUAACCCAGCAGUGACAUUUGGGUUGUUCUUAGCAAGGAAGGUGUCCUUAAUAAGGGCGGUGGGAUAUAUAAUAGCACAAUCAUUAGGUGCAAUUUGUGGAGUUGGUUUUGUGAAGGCAUUCAUGAAGCACUCCUACAACACAUUAGGUGGCGGUGCUAACUUUGUGCAACCUGGUUACAAUAAUGGCACUGCUUUGGGUGCUGAGAUUAUCGGUACAUUUGUUCUUGUU